GUCCAUCCAUGGAUAGCUCAGUUGGUUAGAGUGUGGUGCUAAUGUCACCAAGGUUGCAGGUUGGAUCCCUGGAUGGGACA
rnacentral:tRNA from 1 species